GCAAUAAUUUAGUUCACUCCCAGGGAACUACUAUUUCUGGUUCUCAGUUACUAACCUUUCCAUUCAGUUCUUUCCAUUCCAUUUUUACCAGAAUUAACGUUUCCUCAUCUUUCCCAGUGAAUGUAAAAGGUACCUUCUGGGAAGCAUUUUACCGGAACUGAUGACUGCUAUGCUUGACAGCAGCUUCAACAGCCUCGGAUACAACUCAUCAUGAAUUAGCUCUGGCAUGACUGA
rnacentral:lncRNA from 10 species